GACGAACGCUGGCGGCGUGCUUAACACAUGCAAGUCGAACGGAAAGGCCCUGCUUUUGUGGGGUGCUCGAGUGGCGAACGGGUGAGUAACACGUGAGUAACCUGCCCUUGACUUUGGGAUAACUUCAGGAAACUGGGGCUAAUACCGGAUAGGAGCUCCUGCUGCAUGGUGGGGGUUGGAAAGUUUCGGCGGUUGGGGAUGGACUCGCGGCUUAUCAGCUUGUUGGUGGGGUAGUGGCUUACCAAGGCUUUGACGGGUAGCCGGCCUGAGAGGGUGACCGGCCACAUUGGGACUGAGAUACGGCCCAGACUCCUACGGGAGGCAGCAGUGGGGAAUAUUGCACAAUGGACGGAAGCCUGAUGCAGUAACGCCGCGUGCGGGAUGACGGCCUUCGGGUUGUAAACCGCUUUCGCCUGUGACGAAGCGUGAGUGACGGUAAUGGGGAAAGAAGCACCGGCUAACUACGU
rnacentral:rRNA from 1 species